rfam:Pteropus alecto contig64376, whole genome shotgun sequence.
GUCUACGGCCAUGCCACCCUGAACGAGCCAGAUCCCGUCUGAUCUCAGAAGCUAAGCUGGGUCGGGCCUGGUUAGUACUUGGAUGGGAGACCACAUAGGAAGACCAGGUGCUGUAGGCA